ACGCUCGACACCUACGGGGGGCAGCAGUGGGGAAUAUUGCACAAUGGAGGAAACUCUGAUGCAGCGACGCCGCGUGAGCGAAGAAGUAUUUCGGUAUGUAAAGCUCUAUCAGCAGGGAAGAAAAAGGACGGUACCUGACUAAGAAGCUCCGGCUAAAUACGUGCCGGCAGCCGCGGUAAUCUGAGCGGGCUGGCAAGGC
rnacentral:rRNA from 1 species